CGGUUAAAAUUUUCCUUUCACAGCGGUUCGGACCCGCUGUAGAGCUCGCCGUUGUAAAAGACUAUACAGCGGUCCGAACCGCUGUAAAAGAUAGAUUAUUUACCG
rnacentral:pre_miRNA from 1 species